ACGGGUGAGUAACACGUGGAUAACCUACCUAUAAGACUGGGAUAACUUCGGGAAACCGGAGCUAAUACCGGAUAAUAUAUUGAACCGCAUGGUUCAAUAGUGAAAGACGGUUUUGCUGUCACUUAUAGAUGGAUCCGCGCCGCAUUAGCUAGUUGGUAAGGUAACGGCUUACCAAGGCAACGAUGCGUAGCCGACAUGAGAGGGUGAUCGGCCACACUGGAACUGAGACACGGUCCAG
rnacentral:rRNA from 1 species